AGGGCAAAGAAGUUUGCGUUAAACAUGUUUGUGUGUGUGUACACACAGCCAUGUUGUCAGUAGUGUGUGCUCAGAGCCGUGUCACUCGCUCGGCUUAUUCAACGCACACAUUGGGUCGCGCGGGGGUCUGGCCAGAACUCGAAACGCUAGUGGCUGAUGACGGGGUGGUGUUGCCCUGGAGUGGGUGGGGUUUGGUUUGAGUGGGCGGAGACUUUGGAAUACUGACAGCGUCCAGCGCGCAGCACACAAAUACAUGCACACAUUCACAUAUAACAGUGAAUAAGACACGGUUGUUCUCCGCAUAGAGAGACUCUUUCCUCAUUUAUCUGAGGUAGAUAUCAUGGCUGUGGCCGGGUGUCCAGAUUAUUUUCUACUCCAUCCAAAUUACCAGCAGGAUAAUGUAGACCGAGCUGCCAAUCACAGACAGGCGGAUUUAAUUGGACCAAGUUUUCAGCAGUCAACCAAUCAGAAUUCACCCAGCCAUCAAGGUCAGUGAACUAAUAAUUUGGAUGUGCACUUUAUACAUUUCUUACAAUAAGAUACUCUGCCUGUAAUGUUUGUAAUGACAGUAUUUUUUUUUUUUUGUGUGUGUGGUUAUGGUGUAUGAUAAUGAUGUAUGGUCUUAAUAUCCAAAACAGAGGUAGCAUGUUUUAAUAGAUGUGCAGAAUUGCUUCUAGUUUAAUUACUCACACAGUUAACAAGUGAGUAUGUGUGUGCAUACUUGAUUAUGGGCGGGUGCCGUCUGUCUCACACAUUUGGACUUUGGUCGGGGCUGUCUGUCGUAGACACCUUUUAUAGUUGGAGACUUGCUCAUUAAGUUCAAACUGGGAUCUAUAUUCAGGCCUCUUCCGCUGUAAACACUCCAGCAGUUCAAAGGCUUGAUUUGUAAAGACACAGGGUGCCACUCAUUAAGCCUCCAACCUAAUUGUGCCAUACAAAAAUACAGAGGCAUGUUAUUUGGAGCAUGAGAUUUAAGCACAAUAUCGCCUCAGCAUGGGAGGUAGAGCCUUUUUUUCCCCCUGAAAAUCUGAUGUUGUCAUUGAAGUAAAUGGAUUCAUUUCUCAUUUAGAAUUUUUUUAGUACACUGAAAAAAUUCUCACAGCUGUA